GACGAACGCUGGCGGCACGCUUAACACAUGCAAGUCGAACGAGAGAAGAGGAGCUUGCUUUUCUGAUCUAGUGGCGGACGGGUGAGUAACACGUGAGCAAUCUGCCUUUCAGAGGGGGAUACCGAUUGGAAACGAUCGUUAAUACCGCAUAAUAUAAUUGAACCGCAUGAUUUGAUUAUCAAAGAUUUAUCGCUGAAAGAUGAGCUCGCGUCUGAUUAGCUAGUUGGUAAGGUAACGGCUUACCAAGGCGACGAUCAGUAGCCGGACUGAGAGGUUGAUCGGCCACAUUGGGACUGAGACACGGCCCAGACUCCUACGGGAGGCAGCAGUGGGGAAUAUUGCACAAUGGAGGAAACUCUGAUGCAGCGAUGCCGCGUGAGGGAAGAAGGUUUUAGGAUUGUAAACCUCUGUCUUCAGGGACGAAAAAAGACGGUACCUGAGGAGGAAGCUCCGGCUAACUACGUGCCAGCAGCCGCGGUAAUACGUAGGGAGCGAGCGUUGUCCGGAAUUACUGGGUGUAAAGGGAGCGUAGGCGGGAUCGCAAGUCAGAUGUGAAAACUAUGGGCUUAACCCAUAAACUGCAUUUGAAACUGUGGUUCUUGAGUGAAGUAGAGGUAAGCGGAAUUCCUAGUGUAGCGGUGAAAUGCGUAGAUAUUAGGAGGAACAUCAGUGGCGAAGGCGGCUUACUGGGCUUUAACUGACGCUGAGGCUCGAAAGCGUGGGGAGCAAACAGGAUUAGAUACCCUGGUAGUCCACGCCGUAAACGAUGAUUACUAGGUGUGGGGGGAGUGACCCCUUCCGUGCCGCAGCAAACGCAAUAAGUAAUCCACCUGGGGAGUACGACCGCAAGGUUGAAACUCAAAGGAAUUGACGGGGGCCCGCACAAGCAGUGGAGUAUGUGGAUUAAUUUGAAGCAACGCGAAGAACCUUACCAGGUCUUGACAUCGUAUGCAUAGCUCAGAGAUGAGUGAAAUCUCUUCGGAGACAUAUAGACAGGUGGUGCAUGGUUGUCGUCAGCUCGUGUCGUGAGAUGUUGGGUUAAGUCCCGCAACGAGCGCAACCCUUACUGUUAGUUGCUACGCAAGAGCACUCUAGCAGGACUGCCGUUGACAAAACGGAGGAAGGUGGGGAUGACGUCAAAUCAUCAUGCCCCUUAUGACCUGGGCCUCACACGUACUACAAUGGCUGUCAACAGAGGGAAGCAAAGCCGCGAGGUGGAGCGAACCCCUAAAAGCAGUCUUAGUUCGGAUUGUAGGCUGCAACCCGCCUACAUGAAGUCGGAAUUGCUAGUAAUCGCAGAUCAGCAUGCUGCGGUGAAUAAGUUCCCGGGCCUUGUAC
rnacentral:rRNA from 1 species